UCCAAAAGCCUCCUUCACCUCAGCAAGCCCCCCAAACCACAAGGACCCAUGACAGAACCAGUCCUUGGGCUGCCUGGGCCCCUAUUUUAGGGGACGGUGCUGAGGCAGGAGGAAGGAAACACUCUGCCCAUGCCUGGGGAUGUGCUGUGGGAGGUUGAAUGGUUUAUCCUGUAAACUUCAGCUCUGAAAUGGAUUCCUAGCAAGGACGUGCAGCCUGAGAAUCCUCUCAGUUUGAGCUCGAUGCCUUCCCGGACCUGUUGGCUUUGGUGGAUGUCCUGGGGAAUGACUGUGAGAUACAGGAAACCAGUCAGAAAGAGAUGAAGAGGAAAGGCUGCAGUGAGCAUCUCAGAAUAGCUGAGCACCUCAUUCUCCUGGAUGUGGCAUUAUGUUUAUUCACUAGAUGUCCUGUCUUCAUCCUGCUGAUACUGCAUCUACAUCUUGAUAAAGCAAGGCCAAAAGAAUUAAAAUAGAAGGAACAUCCCAUGGCAAUGAGUGCUGUAGGCUAAUCACAGUAGAAAUAUUCCUUUUUGACGGCUUUGAAUUUUCCUCCUUUCAACUUCUUUGAAAGCUCCUCGCUUGUGUGCUGUGGCAAGAACAAAAUGUCUCAUCAUCCCUUCUCCAACCGAUGUGUGAUGUUAUCUACAUUUAUCACAGCCGCCCUUGUUUGUCUCCUUGGUGAAGCUGCGGUACUGCCUGGCCCUUUUUGUCAGGGUAGGAGGAGGAACUGUGUCUGUUAGUUUAGCUCCCUGUGAAGGAGGAGACUCAGGGCCACAGCAAGCUCACUGGAUUCUCUGGAUAUCUUCCUGGAUCAAAUUUUGAGGAAAUUGAUCAAGUCUAUCCCGCUUUGGUAGCGGUGUAUGGAAUUAAAUGUGUGGGAUGCCAUGAGAAGCAUUACGCAAUGUGACCCCAGGCCUUGAUUCCACCUCUGCUGUGUGAUUUCACCAUUCCCCGCUUGUUCCAGGUGCUGUCCCCUGAAGCAGGGUAAUUUUGUAGGUCUGCCUCGCGUCCAACCUUGCCUGUGCGUAGCGAAAGCAGGAGAUGAAAGGAAUGAAAGCGCUCCCUUCACUAGCACUUCAAUCGGUGAUACGAGCGAUUAAAAUAUGAAUUAAUCUCAGGAAGAUGAAAAUGCAGAUUUUGAAUAGGAGCUGUUGGAGUCACCUUGAACUUGUGCUUAGUGCUGUUUAGCCUGGUUGAUUAAAGACAUUUACACUCCAUUAAAAACCUUGCUGUUCUAAUGUGAAAAACACCUUGUCAGCUGGGUGUCCUGCGUGCCUGCCAUAAGGAGUAACCUGUCUAUUGACUGGCUCGUAUAUUAAUUCAGAAUAACUUAAUAGUGUUGCUGUGAAGAAAAACAAACAGCCUACUUUUUUAUGUGGCAAGGAGAGGCAGUGGGAGCCUGGUUCUUCCCAGCACUGUUAUGAUGAGAGUGAGACAAUAGCAAUUAUCUUCGCCUUUGUCCUGAGCUGAUUGUCUCAGGCUCAGAUGCUGUUGUCAGGCUGGCUGUUUGGCCGCCACAGUUGGUGCUUUAGGAGGGAGGAACGUGAAUGCAGGGGGUGGAAACUGCUGUCUUGUGGUCACUGCUGGACGUGUGAAACCAUCGGAGUGGCUGCCCACCACGUGCUGGCAAUGCACGAGCCCCUGGCGGGGCUGUUACACCACAGCACGUGCUGCGGCCCCAUGUCAGGGCAGGAGGAGCUGUCAGCCCUCCCUGCGCCCCCAACUCCCCUUCAGGGUGAGCACGGGCAAACCCUCGCGUCGCGUUCCCCAUCUGCAAUAAGGCAGCAUGUGGUCGGCCCUUUGCGGAGCGCUGCAGGAGGCUCCAAUGAGAAACCAUUGUGGGGAGCCCCUGCAGAGCUGCUGGGGGCUUCCACCGCCCUGCAAAGUGGGGACCCCUCCUGGGGCACCAGGCAGCAGACACAGCCUCUUGGCAGGGUCAGUCAAUUUCUUGGUGUUUGGCCUCACAGGUCGGGUAAGGCGUUAGUGAUUAAUCACAGCUCCAAGUUAAUCACAGCUCUGUCUGGAGGCAGACAUUGAGGUACUGCUGGGGUGGCAUUAACAAACCAAGCUCUGGUUCCAUUUGCGGAUGGAAAAGCAAUGUGGUCUGUCAAAAUUCCUGCUGCUUAUUUUUUUUAACUAUGAUUAUUUUUUUCCUAUGAUGAUUAUAUAUCCUUGACCGUAAUAAUCGGCCUUCAGAAAGGGAGCUGCUGGGUCAGGUGUUGGGAGGGGCAGGAGACCUCUCUGUCCUGGAGCAUGCUUAUGAGAGACUUUGGGGAGGAAUAGGGGAGAAUUGGGCACAGGGAGAGCCCAGCGUGCAGCAGCUGACCGUGGGGUCAGGGACAAUACCAGGCCUUGGCAGGGGCACACAAAAAGACUUCCUCGCUACCCAGAGUGCCUGCACGCAGUUUUCUGCAUGCCAGCAAGCUGUGGAGCACUGCCCUGAGAGCACACCUUAAGGAAAGGAUCCGUCCCCCAGCAACACUGUGGGAACCUGUAUCUAACCCACACAGUUCUGAGCUUUAUAAAAAGAAAAGCUGUUAGUUCAUGUUCCUUUUCAAAGAAAACCUUGGUUUUGGUUGUUAAAGACCUUUCAAGGUCUUCCACGGUGUCCUAGUAGAAUAGGUUUGGGCAGAUCUACCUGAAAGAUCUGGCUGACUUGGUUUCUGUCACAGCAAUGUUUCUCAGCUAGGUUAAAUACAGUUCUAAAGAAAUUUUCAUUAUAACAACUUGAUACAGAAAAUGCAAUUCAACACUGGUCAUUUCAAAUAGUGCAUGGUACUCAGAACAUAAAUAGCUUAGUGGUACGGUCUGUGUUUGCUGAUACAUGCCUGUCAGAUUUGCUGACAAAUCCCCAAUUUGUUUUUUUUUUUUUUUUUUUUUUGCUUCGCCCCCAAACCUCAGGCAUUAUUAACUGAUUUAAAACGUCUUAUAAAACAUCACCUCUGUUAACUGUUACUCCUUUCUGGUCCAGCUACUAUCUGGGACCACCGUAAGCACACAGGCCUCUGGCGAUGGUAUAUCCUCUGCACUGGGGCAGAAAAAUAGAUGAGUGCUCAAUUGGACUGAAAAAGAGAAUAUUCUGUAAACUGAGAUUUUUCAUAUUUGAUUUUUAAUUUCAGAAAGAUUUAAGGAUGUGGAAAUACUGUAAACUUUUGUCAUUUUUCCCCCUACACAAAACAGGGGUGGCUGCUCUAGGCGUUUCUGCAGGCAGAGGGCUCAUUGCUGCCUGACCAUCCUGAUGUGGGUAGAAGUGAUCCUAGCAGCUGUUGGAACCUCCAGGUUCUGGAAUUCCAAAUUCCACUUUUGUCAGAAGGAAAUGCAUUCACCCAGCAGCCACAGAGGUUUGGUAUUUCCCAUAUAACCUAGUAAGAAAACUUACUGGAAACAAUAAUGUGCUCAGAGAAGUAACGCUGUUUAUGUCAAUAAACUGUAUGUAAAAAUGUUUAAUCACUUUCCCUCAGCUCUAAUACCGAUUAUUUUAACUGUAACAGUCAGUAAAGAUCCAAUGCAGUUUUUCACUGACACCUGCAAGCUUCUUUUUAACCUCAGUUGGUGCUGAAUUAGUUCCUAAAUAAACCUCUAGUCAUGACUUGAAAGGACUGUGCUAAGUAUAUUAUAAUGGGACUCAUAAUAAACACAUUUCCCUGAACUAAUGCUAUAGGAUAAAAUAAAUCAGGUUUCUGCAUUAACCACAUAGUCAAGAGAGGUGAAUGGAAUUGAAACAUUGCUCCUGCCAUUUAUACACGGGAGUGAGAGAGACAGUUCCUCAUUACAGGUACUUUAGGGCUAUGUUUGAAUAAAAUACUUUCUGUUGGCUUGCCCUUGAACUCUGUCCCCUUCAUCCAAUUAAGCAGAAGUCAGUGAAAGAGCAACGUGGCUCAGAGCUUGCCCUGCAAACUGUAGGGCACUGUAAAGGCUCAGAUCUAAUCCUGCCAUCGUGAGGGGUUUGAAAAGUUUAAAUCAAUUGUCUGUGGAAAAUCAAUUAUGUAGCAGACCAGUUCGCCUUCGUGGCGAAUGGAACUGAUUCAUCUGUGGAGUGCUUUCCUGUUCAGAAAAAAUUAUAUUUGAGGUCUACGGCAGCAAAUAUUGGGAGAGAAACUGAACGACUUCCUACUUAAUGAUAAGCAAAGUGCCAGCCAGAGCUGCUUUCAGACCACGGAGCUCAUGGCUUCAGCUGGUGAUAACAUUUCUUUUACUGUCACGUCUCCUGUGCUGACAUGCUUCAGGCGUUCCAGCAAAUUCACUGAUCCUUCCUCGCCCUGUUAUUUUUGUGAAAACAUGAAUUUGCUUGUCAGUGCACAUUACUGCAGCAUAUACAAUAGCCCAGCAAAAUCCCAGCUAGUACUGAUUUCAUUUGAGUCCUUACUAAAUAAUGUAAAACAUUGUAGAGCAUUCACAAAUUGUCAUUGACAUCACAGGAUGAUGUUAGAUGUUGCUUAUGGGAAAACUCUCAGUAACUUCAUGGUUAGACCUUAGAUCCUGGUAAGAGUUAACACAUCUCUGGAUAUAAGCACAGAAGCUGGUUAUUAGAGAAUACUGCAAAAUACUGAUGCUGGCAAGGGUUUCCACACAGCUUAAUUCUAGCUUUACCUCUAGUAGGGUAGGAGAAGAGGCAAGAAACACAGUGUUUGAUGGGGGAAAUAGCAGUGAUACGAGUGAAAAGGAAUUAGGGAACGUUUCCAGAUAUAUAACCUUUCUGGAUAUGCCUUUCCAGAUAUAAAGAAAACAGUUUCAGUGGUAAGACACCGGAACAGGGGCCCAGAGAAGUUCUGGGAUCUCACCCUUGGCGAUAUUUAAAUCUUGACCAGACAGAAUCUAUUUAAAUCUUGACUUAGCAACCUGAUACAGCUGAAAGAGCUCUGAACAGGAGGUUGGCCUGAAGACCUCCAGAAAUCCCUUCCAACAUGAAUUAUUCAGUGUUUCUUUUUCUUGCCUGGUCCUGCAUCCACCCUGCAGACAUCCGGUGGUAAGAGAAUAUAUGACAAAUAACUGUCAUUAUAAACAUUUACUGGUUAGUAGUGUGCAUUUAACACUCUCCAGUUCUUGAGGAUCAUUCAGAACAAAUAAGAAUCCAUGGUGAAGCAAGUUGAUGUCAGCAUUAAGUAAUCUGGUCUUCCUGUACAUCAGUUUUCAGCAGAUAUCUGUAAAGGAGCAGAGGCAAUGCCACACUUCAAAGUAUUAAAUCACGGGUUUGAACUGUGUAUUUUUUUCCUCUGAAUAUUCAGCGUUGACUCAGUGUCUGGCUAUAGCUGUGUGUCUUGGCAUAACAAAACUUGGAAACGUGAAUUUCUGUGAAACACCAACUUCAAGCAUCUACGAGUCACUGCAUCAGUUGCAUUGAGCUAUGCCUACUGUUACAAAAGAGAUUGACAGUGUAAACCCCAAAACAGAAAGCACAUUUUGGUCCCUUCUUUCACUAGUGUUGCUUCCUUGCUUCGUCGCUUCAUUGUUUGGUUGUUGGGUUUGGUUUUCUGUUUUAUUUUUUUCUUUUCUUUUCUGCCUUCUGGGAAUGCUUUUCAGAAUAAUGUGAUACUUGAUAUGACACAAGUGAGCAGUAAAGCAAAAAUUGUUACGGAGUCAUUUUAGUUACGGAGUACUAUUAAAGUUGCCAUUUAUUUCCUGUCAUUUAAUUGACAAGGCUUGAAUUAGACAGGCAAAAUUGUCACUGAUGCUCUGCUGCUGUGGAGGGGGUACGGAGUUUAACAUCAUACAGUGAGAGGGGAAGGGAAGCACUUCAGUGGGUUUCUGCUGCACAAGGGACAUGUCUUGCCAUACUGUUUUGCUGAGGUUGAAGUAUCCUGUGCCAUACAAGGUGCCAAGACCAGGAAGAAAACUGUCAGUUUGUUGGUUUAAAUCAGGCACAGACCGUGCAAGCUCUGGUGCUGGUCAGGAUAGCAGCAGGAUAGCUCUUCAGGUAGAAUAGGGAUCCUACUUAGAAAGAGUUCAGAAGGGAAGGACAGUUAGGGAAGUGGAACUGAAGAACUUAUUUCUUGUCCUCGUUAC